GACGAACCGUCCAAACGUUAUUCGGAAUCACUGGGCUUAAAGGGUGCGUAGGCGGUGCUGUAAGUCGGGUGUGAAAUCCCUCAGCUCAACUGAGGAACUGCGCCUGAUACUGUAGUACUUGAGGGAGACAGGGGUGAGCGGAACUGAUGGUGGAGCGGUGAAAUGCGUUGAUAUCAUCAGGAACACCGGUGGCGAAAGCGGCUCACUGGGUCUCUUCUGACGCUGAGGCACGAAAGCUAGGGGAGCGAACGGG
rnacentral:misc_RNA from 1 species